rnacentral:misc_RNA from 1 species
CCCCCCCCCUUCCCCGGCUCCGGCGAGCGGCCAUGCCCGCCCCGACCGGUGGACUCGCCUCGCCGUGAGCCACCCCACCCUUUCUCUUUUCUUCUCCUUGCUGCUCGUCCAUGGAAGAAAUUGUCGGGCGCCGCUACCCUGCUCCACCAGCCGCAUCACCGUCCUGGACAUGGCUGCCGGCGACGACGCGGUCCUUCCGCUGGCCAGCAACUGCCUUGCUUGAAUGCCCCUUGUGGUUGUCGUGAACUCGUGAUGGUAGGGACAGAAAAAUCAACUGUGCGCGUCAUGGCCUCAUGGGUGGGAGAGGGAAAAAGGCAUGCAAGUAAAAAGGCUCGUGGGCCCCAUGUUACAUGUCGUAUUCCCUUCCUGGCUGCAUGCGAUCAAGAGAAACAGUCCUCCCUGGAUCCGAUGUGGAUGCAAAAUCCAUGACCGUCCAUUGGAUUUGACUCGGACCAAUCACAACGCACCACAUCACUUUAAAUUUGCGGUUUAUUAAUUACAAGUUAGCGUUUGCGUUAUUGUCGGGGACCAUAAUUAGGGGUACCCCCAAGACUCCUAAUUUCAGCUGGUAACCCCCAUCAGCAUAAAUCUGCAAAGGUCUGAUGGGUGCGAUUAAGUCAAGGCUCGGUCCACUCAAGGGACACGAUCUCGCCUCGCCCGAGCCCAUCCUCGGGCAAGGGCAGCCAACACUGGAGGAUUUACGUCUCGCCCAAGGGCCCCCUCAAGCAACGGACACACCUUCGGCUCGCCCGAGGCCCAGCCUACGCCAAGAAGCAACCUUGGCAAAAUCGCCACGCCGACCGACCGUAUCGCAGGAGCAUUUAAUGCAAGGAUGGUGUAGCACCCACUUUGUAAGAAAAGUCUAGAAAGAGAAAUUCUAUUACUUUAUAUCGAUAUGUGUAAUCUAUGUCUCUCAUUUCAUGUGAACACCACAAUUAAACAAAUAAAUAAAUAACAAAAGACACCCAAAAAUGACACAUGCAUCAUGCUGGGAGUUUAUUGUGGGUGCAUUACUUGUGACAAUGUAAAAAUAAUAUAAAAAUGAAUAUGUUAAAUCUAGAGUGGAAUGUGAGGUCUAAAAUGAAUUCUAGAAUUUAGAAAAGAGAAGAAAAUGAAUAUGAUGAGGAGA